GAUGAACGCUGGCGGCGCGCCUAAUACAUGCAAGUCGAGCGAACAGACGAGGAGCUUGCUCCUCUGACGUUAGCGGCGGACGGGUGAGUAACACGUGGAUAACCUACCUAUAAGACUGGGAUAACUUCGGGAAACCGGAGCUAAUACCGGAUAAUAUAUUGAACCGCAUGGUUCAAUAGUGAAAGACGGUUUUGCUGUCACUUAUGGAUGGAUCCGCGCCGCAUUAGCUAGUUGGUAAGGUAACGGCUUACCAAGGCAACGAUGCGUAGCCGACCUGAGAGGGUGAUCGGCCACACUGGAACUGAGACACGGUCCAGACUCCUACGGGAGGCAGCAGUAGGGAAUCUUCCGCAAUGGGCGAAAGCCUGACGGAGCAGCGCCGCGUGAGUGAUGAAGGUCUUCGGAUCGUAAAACUCUGUUAUUAGGGAAGAACAAAUGUGUAAGUAACUAUGCACGUCUUGACGGUACCUAAUCAGAAAGCCACGGCUAACUACGUG
rnacentral:rRNA from 1 species